GCAUAAUGAACGCUAAGUACUUGGUGUUAUUUGGACAUAAAUUAUGAACUUUGUCAAAAGAAACCACAUUUGUUCCGGACCUGGAAUGCCUUCCGGACCUGGGAUCCUGCCUUCUGAUGGAGAUAAUCAAAGAGCAUACAACCAUGCCGACAACCAUCCGUGAAGAUCAGUGGACAAAGGGCUGGACAACGGGACACACCGAAAAAAACUCAUGGUUGCCAAACCCUUUCUGGCAUGUCACUGGAGCAGAAUAUUCCUUUAGAGCUGAAGACAUCACACGUUCUGAAAGAGCUGUCACAAAUGAUCUGGUAAGAAAAAUACGGCAUGAGUCCCCCUGAGCACAAAACGACAAUGGUAAAGAGGUUCCAGAGGAAUAAAAUGCUUUUUCAAAGGCGAUGAUGUUUGACAAAAAGCUCCGACAUGGCAAAAGGGAAGAAAAACACAACAAAAACAACAACUGCUGUCUUCCUCUCUUAGCAUCUACUGUAGCUACAGUGCCUUCAGAAAGUUUUCACACCUCCUUUCUUUUUUCACAUUUUGUUGUGUUACAGCCUGAAUUUAAAAUUGACUGCAUUUAGAUUUUGUGUCACUGAUCUACACACAAUGCCCCAUAAUGUCAAGGUGGAUUUUUGUUUGUAGUACAUUUUAAAAAUGAAUAACAAAUUGAAAGCUGAAAUGUCUUUAGUCAAUAAGUAUUCAACCCCCUUGUUAUGGCCAUAGCCGCUGGAAGAUGUUUGGG
rnacentral:lncRNA from 1 species